rnacentral:rRNA from 1 species
CCCUUAGAUGUCCGGGGCCGCACGCGCGCUACACUGAAGGAAUCAGCGUGGAUCUCCCCCCUGCUCCGAAAGGAGUGGGAAACCCGUUGAAUCUCCUUCGUGCUAGGGAUUGGGGCUUGUAAUUCUUCCCCAUGAUCGAGGAAUUCCCAGUAAGCGCGAGUCAUAAGCUCGCGUUGAUUACGUCCCUGCCCUUUGUACACACCGCCCGUCGCUACUAUCGAUUGAGCGGUUCAGUGAGCCCCUCGGAUCGGCCUCGGGCUGGCUGGCAACAGCUGGCCUGUUGGCCGAGAAGACGGUCAAACUCGAUCGCUUGGAGAAAGUAAAAGUCGUAACA